rnacentral:rRNA from 1 species
GCUUAUCACCAUUCCAGAUUGAAUAUACCCGAUCUCGUCUGAUCUCGGAAGUCAAGCAAUCUCGGGCUUGGUUAGUACUUGGAUGGGUGACCGCUUGGGAAUACAUAGUGUGAUAAGCA